UAAGUAAGUGGUGGAAAUUAAACCAAAUGGGAUAUCUUUAGUAAUUGCGAAUGAACAAGGAUAUGCUUAGCUUGACAAAUGGAGCUAUUGGCUUUGAAUUGUAUUUGUGGAAUGUAUUACCAACAGAGGUGCAGGUGCCAGCCUAUUAAAUAAAGCGUCAAUGAGGGUGAGAAUCCUGUUUGUCAUGUGCAGCCCUUUGUGCACGGUGUAUAUUUGCUGAGUCACACUCCUUGGCAUUGGAAUGCAAAGUGGGUGGUAAGUUUCAUGUACAGGUAAACAUGCAAUUGAGACUGAUAGCACACAAGUACCAUGAGGGAAAUAUGAAAAGGACUUUGAAAAGAGAAUUAAAUUAGUUUGUAUUUGCUGAACACAAAGUAAACAGACUUGAUUUGCUUGGUGGGAGUGUUGCACUUGCUUGACAAGAGCUUUGGGCUGUGGGUGUAAUGAUUCUUUCUUUGCAUGCCAGUUUCUAUGUGUACAUCUGAUUACCUUUGCACAUGAAUGAUAAGUCUCCUGUGGGGGGUGGAUUGCAUGUGCAUGUAAUGAUUUGUGUUUUGAUAAAUGUGUCUGGUGUAUGUGUGUGUGUUCCUGUGCUUGGGGAUGCUUCCUUCCUUGGACUUACAGGCCCCGACACACACAUGCUGGCAAAAUGCUUCUGCUUGACCCG
rnacentral:rRNA from 1 species